rnacentral:rRNA from 1 species
AUGCACGCUGACAGAAUGCUUAACACAUGCAAGUCGAUGGGGAAGUGGUGCUUGCACCCUGGUAACCAUGGCGGACGGGUGAGUAACGCGUAAGGAACUUACCUGCGGGACCGGGAUAACAGCAGGAAACUGCUGACAAGACCGGAUAAGGUCAUUAAGCUGCAUAGCUUAGUGAUGAAAGGAGACGCCUGCGGAGAGCCUUGCGUCCUAUUAGCUAGUUGGAGGGGUAACGGCCCACCAAGGCGAAAAUAGGUAGCCGGCCUGAGAGGGUGGACGGCCACAAGGGGACUGAGAUACGGCCCUUACUCCUACGGGAGGCAGCAGUGGGGAAUAUUGGACAAUGGGGGCAACCCUGAUCCAGCAAUUCUGUGUGCACGAAGACGGUUUUCGGAUUGUAAAGUGCUUUCAGCAGGGAAGAAGGAAGUGACGGUACCUGCAGAAGAAGCGACGGCUAAAUACGUG